rnacentral:rRNA from 1 species
UUAAGCGACUAAGCGUACACGGUGGAUGCCCUGGCAGUCAGAGGCGAUGAAGGACGUGCUAAUCUGCGAAAAGCGUCGGUAAGGUGAUAUGAACCGUUAUAACCGGCGAUGUCCGAAUGGGGAAACCCAGUGCAAUUCGUUGCACUAUCGUUAACUGAAUACAUAGGUUAACGAGGCGAACCGGGGGAACUGAAACAUCUAAGUACCCCGAGGAAAAGAAAUCAACCGAGAUUCCCCCAGUAGCGGCGAGCGAACGGGGAGCAGCCCAGAGUCUGAAUCAGCUUGUGUGUUAGUGGAACGGUCUGGAAAGUCCGACGGUACAGGGUGAUAGUCCCGUACACCAAAAUGCACAGGUUGUGAACUCGAAGAGUAGGGCGGGACACGUGGUAUCCUGUCUGAAUAUGGGGGGACCAUCCUCCAAGGCUAAAUACUCCUGACUGACCGAUAGUGAACCAGUACCGUGAGGGAAAGGCGAAAAGAACCCCGGCGAGGGGAGUGAAAAAGAACCUGAAACCGUGUACGUACAAGCAGUGGGAGCACCUUCGGGUGUGACUGCGUACCUUUUGUAUAAUGGGUCAGCGACUUAUAUUCUGUAGCAAGGUUAACCGUAUAGGGGAGCCGCAGGGAAACCGAGUCUUAACUGGGCGUUAAGUUGCAGGGUAUAGACCCGAAACCCGGUGAUCUAGCCAUGGGCAGGUUGAAGGUUGGGUAACACUAACUGGAGGACCGAACCGACUAAUGUUGAAAAAUUAGCGGAUGACUUGUGGCUGGGGGUGAAAGGCCAAUCAAACCGGGAGAUAGCUGGUUCUCCCCGAAAGCUAUUUAGGUAGCGCCUCGUGAACUCAUCUUCGGGGGUAGAGCACUGUUUCGGCUAGGGGGUCAUCCCGACUUACCAACCCGAUGCAAACUACGAAUACCGAAGAAUGUUAUCACGGGAGACACACGGCGGGUGCUAACGUCCGUCGUGAAGAGGGAAACAACCCAGACCGCCAGCUAAGGUCCCAAAGUCAUGGUUAAGUGGGAAACGAUGUGGGAAGGCACAGACAGCCAGGAUGUUGGCUUAGAAGCAGCCAUCAUUUAAAGAAAGCGUAAUAGCUCACUGGUCGAGUCGGCCUGCGCGGAAGAUGUAACGGGGCUAAACCAUGCACCGAAGCUGCGGCAGCGACACUAUGUGUUGUUGGGUAGGGGAGCGUUCUGUAAGCCUGCGAAGGUGACCUGUGAGGGUUGCUGGAGGUAUCAGAAGUGCGAAUGCUGACAUAAGUAACGAUAAAGCGGGUGAAAAGCCCGCUCGCCGGAAGACCAAGGGUUCCUGUCCAACGUUAAUCGGGGCAGGGUGAGUCGACCCCUAAGGCGAGGCCGAAAGGCGUAGUCGAUGGGAAACAGGUUAAUAUUCCUGUACUUGGUGUUACUGCGAAGGGGGGACGGAGAAGGCUAUGUUAGCCGGGCGACGGUUGUCCCGGUUUAAGCAUGUAGGCUGGUUGUCCAGGCAAAUCCGGAUAAUCAAGGCUGAGGUGUGAUGACGAGGCACUACGGUGCUGAAGUAACAAAUGCCCUGCUUCCAGGAAAAGCCUCUAAGCAUCAGGUAACAUUGAAUCGUACCCCAAACCGACACAGGUGGUCAGGUAGAGAAUACCAAGGCGCUUGAGAGAACUCGGGUGAAGGAACUAGGCAAAAUGGUGCCGUAACUUCGGGAGAAGGCACGCUGGUGUGUAGGUGAAGUCCCUGCGGAUGGAGCUGAGACCAGUCGAAGAUACCAGCUGGCUGCAACUGUUUAUUAAAAACACAGCACUGUGCAAACACGAAAGUGGACGUAUACGGUGUGACGCCUGCCCGGUGCCGGAAGGUUAAUUGAUGGGGUUAUCCGUAAGGAGAAGCUCUUGAUCGAAGCCCCGGUAAACGGCGGCCGUAACUAUAACGGUCCUAAGGUAGCGAAAUUCCUUGUCGGGUAAGUUCCGACCUGCACGAAUGGCGUAAUGAUGGCCAGGCUGUCUCCACCCGAGACUCAGUGAAAUUGAACUCGCUGUGAAGAUGCAGUGUACCCGCGGCAAGACGGAAAGACCCCGUGAACCUUUACUAUAGCUUGACACUGAACAUUGAGCCUUGAUGUGUAGGAUAGGUGGGAGGCUUUGAAGCGUGGACGCCAGUCUGCGUGGAGCCAACCUUGAAAUACCACCCUUUAAUGUUUGAUGUUCUAACGUUGGCCCCUGACCGGGGUUGCGGACAGUGUCUGGUGGGUAGUUUGACUGGGGCGGUCUCCUCCCAAAGCGUAACGGAGGAGCACGAAGGUUAGCUAAUCCUGGUCGGACAUCAGGAGGUUAGUGCAAUGGCAUAAGCUAGCUUGACUGCGAGCGUGACGGCGCGAGCAGGUGCGAAAGCAGGUCAUAGUGAUCCGGUGGUUCUGAAUGGAAGGGCCAUCGCUCAACGGAUAAAAGGUACUCCGGGGAUAACAGGCUGAUACCGCCCAAGAGUUCAUAUCGACGGCGGUGUUUGGCACCUCGAUGUCGGCUCAUCACAUCCUGGGGCUGAAGUAGGUCCCAAGGGUAUGGCUGUUCGCCAUUUAAAGUGGUACGCGAGCUGGGUUUAGAACGUCGUGAGACAGUUCGGUCCCUAUCUGCCGUGGGCGCUGGAGAAUUGAGGGGGGCUGCUCCUAGUACGAGAGGACCGGAGUGGACGCAUCACUGGUGUUCGGGUUGUCAUGCCAAUGGCACUGCCCGGUAGCUAAAUGCGGAAGAGAUAAGUGCUGAAAGCAUCUAAGCACGAAACUUGCCCCGAGAUGAGUUCUCCCUGAGACUUUAAGUCUCCUGAAGGAACGUUGAAGACGACGACGUUGAUAGGCCGGGUGUGUAAGCGCAGCGAUGCGUUGAGCUAACCGGUACUAAUGAACCGUGAGGCUUAACCUU